GACAGAGGGGGCAAGCGUUGCUCGGAAUUACUGGGCGUAAAGGGCGCGUAGGCGGGAUGGCAAGUCGGUCGUGAAAUCCCUCGGCUCAACUGAGGAUCGUCGAUCGAUACUGCCGUUCUUGAGGAUUGCAGAGGAGACUGGAAUUCCUGGUGUAGCGGUGGAAUGCGCAGAUAUCAGGAGGAACACCGAUGGCGAAGGCAGGUCACUGGGCCGCAACUGACGCUGAGGAGCGAAAGCAUGGGGAGCGAACAGG
rnacentral:rRNA from 1 species